rnacentral:rRNA from 1 species
UGAAGCGUGGACGCCAGUCUGCGUGGAGCCAUCCUUGAAAUACCACCCUGGCAACUUUGAGGUUCUAACUCAGGUCCGUUAUCCGGAUCGAGGACAGUGUAUGGUGGGUAGUUUGACUGGGGCGGUCUCCUCCUAAAGAGUAACGGAGGAGUACGAAGGUGCGCUCAGACCGGUCGGAAAUCGGUCGUAGAGUAUAAAGGCAAAAGCGCGCUUGACUGCGAGACAGACACGUCGAGCAGGUACGAAAGUAGGUCUUAGUG